GCCGGAUUAGCUCAGUUGGUAGAGCAGCGGUUUUGUAAACCGAAGGUCGCGGGUUCGAAUCCUGCAUCCGGCACCA
rnacentral:tRNA from 10 species